rnacentral:sRNA from 1 species
GUUUUUGUUUGUUUUUG